rnacentral:rRNA from 1 species
CGCGGUUGGGGGGGGCUAUACAUGCAAGUAGAACGCUGAAGAGAGGAGCUUGCUCUUCUUGGAUGAGUUGCGAACGGGUGAGUAACGCGUAGGUAACCUGCCUUGUAGCGGGGGAUAACUAUUGGAAACGAUAGCUAAUACCGCAUAACAAUGGAUGACACAUGUCAUUUAUUUGAAAGGGGCAAUUGCUCCACUACAAGAUGGACCUGCGUUGUAUUAGCUAGUAGGUGAGGUAACGGCUCACCUAGGCGACGAUACAUAGCCGACCUGAGAGGGUGAUCGGCCACACUGGGACUGAGACACGGCCCAGACUCCUACGGGAGGCAGCAGUAGGGAAUCUUCGGCAAUGGGGGCAACCCUGACCGAGCAACGCCGCGUGAGUGAAGAAGGUUUUCGGAUCGUAAAGCUCUGUUGUAAGUCAAGAACGAGUGUGAGAGUGGAAAGUUCACACUGUGACGGUAGCUUACCAGAAAGGGACGGCUAACUACGUGCCAGCAGCCGCGGUAAUACGUAGGUCCCGAGCGUUGUCCGGAUUUAUUGGGCGUAAAGCGAGCGCAGGCGGUUUGAUAAGUCUGAAGUUAAAGGCUGUGGCUCAACCAUAGUUCGCUUUGGAAACUGUCAAACUUGAGUGCAGAAGGGGAGAGUGGAAUUCCAUGUGUAGCGGUGAAAUGCGUAGAUAUAUGGAGGAACACCGGUGGCGAAAGCGGCUCUCUGGUCUGUAACUGACGCUGAGGCUCGAAAGCGUGGGGAGCGAACAGGAUUAGAUACCCUGGUAGUCCACGCCGUAAACGAUGAGUGCUAGGUGUUGGAUCCUUUCCGGGAUUCAGUGCCGCAGCUAACGCAUUAAGCACUCCGCCUGGGGAGUACGACCGCAAGGUUGAAACUCAAAGGAAUUGACGGGGGCCCGCACAAGCGGUGGAGCAUGUGGUUUAAUUCGAAGCAACGCGAAGAACCUUACCAGGUCUUGACAUCCCGAUGCUAUUUCUAGAGAUAGAAAGUUACUUCGGUACAUCGGUGACAGGUGGUGCAUGGUUGUCGUCAGCUCGUGUCGUGAGAUGUUGGGUUAAGUCCCGCAACGAGCGCAACCCCUAUUGUUAGUUGCCAUCAUUCAGUUGGGCACUCUAGCGAGACUGCCGGUAAUAAACCGGAGGAAGGUGGGGAUGACGUCAAAUCAUCAUGCCCCUUAUGACCUGGGCUACACACGUGCUACAAUGGUUGGUACAACGAGUUGCGAGUCGGUGACGGCAAGCUAAUCUCUUAAAGCCAAUCUCAGUUCGGAUUGUAGGCUGCAACUCGCCUACAUGAAGUCGGAAUCGCUAGUAAUCGCGGAUCAGCACGCCGCGGUGAAUACGUUCCCGGGCCUUGUACACACCGCCCGUCACACCACGAGAGUUUGUAACACCCGAAGUCGGUGAGGUAACCUUUUGGAGCCAGCCGCGUAAGGUGGAAUAGAAU